ACGUAGGGGACAAGCGUUGUCCGGAAUUACUGGGCGUAAAGAGCUCGUAGGCGGUUCAGUAAGUCAGAUGUGAAAACCCAAGGCUCAACCUUGGGACGCCAUUUGAUACUGCUGUGACUUGAGUCCGGUAGAGGAGCGUGGAAUUCCUGGUGUAGCGGUGAAAUGCGCAGAUAUCAGGAGGAACACCAACGGCGAAGGCAGCGCUCUGGGCCGGUACUGACGCUGAGGAGCGAAAGCAUGGGGAGCAAACAGG
rnacentral:rRNA from 1 species